rnacentral:rRNA from 1 species
UGCAGUCGAACGAUGAUCUCCAGCUUGCUGGGGGGAUUAGUGGCGAACGGGUGAGUAACACGUGAGUAACCUGCCCUUGACUCUGGGAUAAGCCUGGGAAACUGGGUCUAAUACCGGAUACGACCGAUCACCGCAUGGUGUGUUGGUGGAAAGCUUUUGCGGUUUUGGAUGGACUCGCGGCCUAUCAGCUUGUUGGUGGGGUAAUGGCCUACCAAGGCGACGACGGGUAGCCGGCCUGAGAGGGUGACCGGCCACACUGGGACUGAGACACGGCCCAGACUCCUACGGGAGGCAGCAGUGGGGAAUAUUGCACAAUGGGCGAAAGCCUGAUGCAGCGACGCCGCGUGAGGGAUGACGGCCUUCGGGUUGUAAACCUCUUUCAGUAGGGAAGAAGCGUAAGUGACGGUACCUGCAGAAGAAGCGCCGGCUAACUACGUGCCAGCAGCCGCGGUAAUACGUAGGGCGCAAGCGUUAUCCGGAAUUAUUGGGCGUAAAGAGCUCGUAGGCGGUUUGUCGCGUCUGCUGUGAAAGACCGGGGCUCAACUCCGGUUCUGCAGUGGGUACGGGCAGACUAGAGUGAUGUAGGGGAGACUGGAAUUCCUGGUGUAGCGGUGAAAUGCGCAGAUAUCAGGAGGAACACCGAUGGCGAAGGCAGGUCUCUGGGCAUUAACUGACGCUGAGGAGCGAAAGCAUGGGGAGCGAACAGGAUUAGAUACCCUGGUAGUCCAUGCCGUAAACGUUGGGCACUAGGUGUGGGGGACAUUCCACGUUUUCCGCGCCGUAGCUAACGCAUUAAGUGCCCCGCCUGGGGAGUACGGCCGCAAGGCUAAAACUCAAAGGAAUUGACGGGG